rnacentral:rRNA from 1 species
CCUACGGGCGGCAGCAGUGGGGAAUAUUGGGCAAUGGGCGCAAGCCUGACCCAGCAACGCCGCGUGAAGGAAGAAGGCUUUCGGGUUGUAAACUUCUUUUCUGAGGGACGAAGCAAGUGACGGUACCUCAGGAAUAAGCCACGGCUAACUACGUUCCAGCAGCCGCGGUAAUACGUAGGUGGCAAGCGUUAUCCGGAUUUAUUGGGGGUAAAGGGCGUGUAGGCGGGAAAGCAAGUCAGAUGUGAAAACUCAGGGCUCAACCCUGAGCCUGCAUGUGAAACUGUUUUUCUUGAGUGCUGGAGAGGCAAACGGAAUUCCGGGUGUAGCGGUGAAAUGCGUAGAUAUAAGGAGGAACACCAGUGGCGAAGGCGGAUUGCUGGACAGUAACUGACGCUGAGGCGCGAAAGCGUGGGGAGCAAACAGGAUUAGAUACCCGUGUAGUC